GGCCAGAUAGCUCAGUUGGUUAGAGCAUCUUGGGAUUUCACCAGAAGGUUCCUGGGUUCAAUCCAGUCUGGACA
rnacentral:tRNA from 1 species